ensembl:snRNA U6 U6 spliceosomal RNA
GUGCUCGCUUCCGCAGCGCAUGUACUAAAAUUGGAACGGUACAGGGAAGACUAGCAGGACCCCUGUGCAAGGAUGGCAUGCAAAUUCCUGAAGUGUUCCAAAUAAAU